rfam:Picea glauca, whole genome shotgun sequence.
AUAACGGUGUCUUUAGACACUACCUCUUAUUUCUUAGAAAUGUUAU